AUUGAACGCUGGCGGCAGGCCUAACACAUGCACGUCGAACGAGUGGCGGACGGGUGAGUAAUGCCUGGGAAACUGCCUGGUAGAGGGGGAUAACGACCGGAAACGGGCGCUAAUACCGCAUACUAUCAGAUGAGCCCAGGUCGGAUUAGCUAGUUGGUGGGGUAAAGGCCUACCAAGGCGACGAUCCGUAACUGGUCUGAGAGGAUGACCAGCCACACUGGGACUGAGACACGGUCCAGACUCCUACGGGAGGCAGCAGUGGGGAAUAUUGCACAAUGGGGGCAAGCCUGAUGCAGCCAUGCCGCGUGUAUGAAGAAGGCCUUCGGGUUGUAAAGUACUUUCAGCGGGGAGGCGUUACCCGCAGAAGAAGCACCGGCUAACUCCGUGCCAGCCGCCGCGGUAAUUC
rnacentral:rRNA from 1 species